rnacentral:rRNA from 1 species
UACGGGGGGGGCAAGCGUUGUUCGGAAUUACUGGGCGUAAAGGGCUCGUAGGUGGCCAACUAAGUCAGACGUGAAAUCCCUCGGCUUAACCGGGGAACUGCGUCCGAUACUGGAUGACUUGAGCUCGGGAGAGGGAUGCGGAAUUCCAGGUGUAGCGGUGAAAUGCGUAGAUAUCUGGAGGAACACCGGUGGCGAAGGCGGCAUCCUGGACCGACACUGACGCUGAGGAGCGAAAGCCAGGGGAGCAAACGGG